GCGGAGGAAAAGAAACCAACAGGGAUUGCCCUAGUAACGGCGAGUGAAGCGGCAACAGCUCAAAUUUGAAAUCUGGCUCUUUCAGAGUCCGAGUUGUAAUUUGCAGAGGGCGCUUUGGCGUUGGCAGCGGUCCAAGUUCUUUGGAACAGGACGUCACAGAGGGUGAGAAUCCCGUACGUGGUCGCUAGCCUUCGCCGUGUAAAGCCCCUUCGACGAGUCGAGUUGUUUGGGAAUGCAGCUCUAAAUGGGAGGUAAAUUUCUUCUAAAGCUAAAUACUGGCCAGAGACCGAUAGCGCACAAGUAGAGUGAUCGAAAGAUGAAAAGCACUUUGGAAAGAGAGUCAAAUAGCACGUGAAAUUGUUGAAAGGGAAGCGCUUGCAGCCAGACUUGCCUGUAGUUGCUUAUCUGGACUUUUGUCCGGUGCACUCUUCUGCGGGCAGGCCAGCAUCAGUUUGGGCGGUUGGAUAAAGGUCUCUGUCAUGUACCUCCUUUCGGGGAGGCCUUAUAGGGGAGACGACAUGCAACCAGCCUGGACUGAGGUCCGCGCAUCUGCUAGGAUGCUGGCGUAAUGGCUGUAAGCGGCCCGUCUUGAAACACGGACCAAGGAGUCUAACAUCUAUGCGAGUGUUUGGGUGUCAAGCCCAGACGCGUAAUGAAAGUGAACGGAGGUGGGAACCCUUUGGGUGCACCAUCGACCGAUCCUGAUGUCUUCGGAUGGAUUUGAGUAAGAGCAUGGCUGUUGGGACCCGAAAGAUGGUGAACUAUGCUUGAAUAGGGUGAAGCCAGAGGAAACUCUGGUGGAGGCUCGCAGCGGUUCUGACGUGCAAAUCGAUCGUCAAAUUUGGGCAUAGGGGCGAAAGACUAAUCGAACUAUCUAGUAGCUGGUACUGC
rnacentral:sRNA from 1 species